rnacentral:rRNA from 1 species
AGCGAACGCUGGCGGCAGGCCUAACACAUGCAAGUCGAACGAACCUUUCGGGGUUAGUGGCGGACGGGUGAGUAACACGUGGGAACGUGCCUUUAGGUUCGGAAUAACUCAGGGAAACUUGUGCUAAUACCGAAUGUGCCCUUCGGGGGAAAGAUUAAUCGCCUUUAGAGCGGCCCGCGUCUGAUUAGCUAGUUGGUUGAGGUAAUGGCUCACCAAGGCGACGAUCAGUAGCUGGUCUGAGAGGAUGAGCAGCCACAUUGGGACGGAGACACGGCCCAAACUCCUACGGGAGGCAGCAGUGGGGAAUCUUGCACAAUGGGCGAAAGCCUGACGCAGCCAUGCCGCGUGAAUGAUGAAGGUCGUAGGAUAGUAAAAUUCUUUCACCGGGGACGAUAAUGACGGUACCCGGAGAAGAAGCCCCGGCUAACUUCGUG